rnacentral:rRNA from 1 species
GAUGAACGCUGGCGGCGUGCCUAAUACAUGCAAGUAGAACGCUGAAGCUUGGUGCUUGCACCGAGCGGAUGAGUUGCGAACGGGUGAGUAACGCGUAGGUAACCUGCCUGGUAGCGGGGGAUAACUAUUGGAAACGAUAGCUAAUACCGCAUAACAGUCGAUAUUGCAUGAUGUUGAUUUGAAAGGGGCAAUUGCUCCACUACCAGAUGGACCUGCGUUGUAUUAGCUAGUUGGUGAGGUAACGGCUCACCAAGGCGACGAUACAUAGCCGACCUGAGAGGGUGAUCGGCCACACUGGGACUGAGACACGGCCCAGACUCCUACGGGAGGCAGCAGUAGGGAAUCUUCGGCAAUGGGGGCAACCCUGACCGAGCAACGCCGCGUGAGUGAAGAAGGUUUUCGGAUCGUAAAGCUCUGUUGUAAGAGAAGAACGAGUGUGAGAGUGGAAAGUUCACACUGUGACGGUAACUUACCAGAAAGGGACGG